CCUACGGGAGGCAGCAGUGGGGAAUAUUGCACAAUGGGCGAAAGCCUGAUGCAGCAACGCCGCGUGAGCGAUGAAGGCCUUCGGGGCGUAAAGCUCUGUCCUCAAGGAAGAUAAUGACGGUACUUGAGGAGGAAGCCCCGGCUAACUACGUGCCAGCAGCCGCGGUAAUACGUAGGGGGCUAGCGUUAUCCGGAAUUACUGGGCGUAAAGGGUGCGUAGGUGGUUUCUUAAGUCAGAGGUGAAAGGCUACGGCUCAACCGUAGUAAGCCUUUGAAACUGGGAAACUUGAGUGCAGGAGAGGAGAGUGGAAUUCCUAGUGUAGCGGUGAAAUGCGUAGAUAUUAGGAGGAACACCAGUUGCGAAGGCGGCUCUCUGGACUGUAACUGACACUGAGGCACGAAAGCGUGGGGAGCAAACAGGAUUAGAUACCCUUGUAGUC
rnacentral:rRNA from 1 species